GACAGAGGGUGCGAACGUUGUUCGGAAUUACUGGGCGUAAAGCGCGUGUAGGCAGCUUGGCAAGUCGGGUGUGAAAGCCCUGGGCUCAACCUAGGAAGUGCACUCGAAACUGCUUCGCUUGAGUAUCGGAGAGGAAAGCGGAAUUCUCGGUGUAGAGGUGAAAUUCGUAGAUAUCGAGAGGAACACCAGUGGCGAAGGCGGCUUUCUGGACGAUCACUGACGCUGAGACGCGAAAGCGUGGGGAGCAAACAGG
rnacentral:rRNA from 1 species